rnacentral:rRNA from 1 species
UACAGAGGUCUCAAGCGUUGUUCGGAUUCAUUGGGCGUAAAGGGUGCGUAGGCGGCGCGGUAAGUCGGGUGUGAAAUCUCGGAGCUUAACUCCGAAACUGCAUUCGAUACUGCCGUGCUUGAGGACUGGAGAGGAGACUGGAAUUUACGGUGUAGCGGUGAAAUGCGUAGAUAUCGUAAGGAAGACCAGUGGCGAAGGCGGGUCUCUGGACAGUUCCUGACGCUGAGGCGCGAAGGCCAGGGGGAGCAAACGGGG